rnacentral:tRNA from 2 species
GGGGCUGUAGCUCAAUGGCUAGAGCACUCGCCUGUCUAGCGGGGAGUUGCGGGUUCGAGUCCCGUCAGCCUCG